GUAUUUUCAAUAUUAUAAUUAAGCAGCUUCAAACCUGUCACUUUUGAACCAAUCAAACACACAGUCGAGGGUACUACGUCAUAUUGCAUGUGUUUUCUUUACCAAAUAUGGGAUUACGUAAACACAACCAUAUGUUGUUACACUACGUGUGACAAUUUUAUGUUAUCGGGCAUAUAUUUAUUGGAAUCAGAUAUGCAGCCGUCACAGCCAGCUGAUGAAGAUCCUCAGCUUAUACAGAGGUCAGGCUUGAGCUGUGUGCUGAUUCAAAAGAUGCUAAUGACAGUGGAUAAUCCAUUCUGAGCUGUUCUAGGACCAUUCACCAAGGUUCCAAAACACUGAUGGAUCUGAAGGCAGUACCUGUAUUGGUGUCUGGUCUGUGAUUUCAAGUAUAAUUGAUGUACCUCCUCCUGAUGUAUCUCCUCGAAUACAAUAUAUCUGCCAUGUGAAAGGAACAAGCUGCAAGAUAUACUGUGGAAGUGGGGGCCUAUGUAAAAAACAUUUUAUUUAAAGAAUAUAAAAAAUCUGACACUAAACUACUGAAAAGGUGCACAGGGGACAUUUUUGUGUGUAUAGACUUUCAUCAAGAUUCUGAGAAAGUUGAUUUAUCAAACAAAAAUAGUCAGAUUGUGUCUUCAAAGCUGAAAAGAUUAAGAUCUUAGGAAAACAUUAGGACUCAAGAAAAGUAUUGCGGUUAUGAAACUGUAGUGUUCAACAUUUAAAUUGUUUUUUUUUUUUUUUUCACUACAUUUUGUGAAGAGGGUUCCAUCACAAGAUGCGACAUAUUGCCUGAUAUUGGUAAGAAUGAGAUGUAGUUUAUGAAAAAAAAGUAUUUUGCUUUAAAUGUGCAGACUUUAAGUUACAUAAAAA
rnacentral:lncRNA from 1 species